rnacentral:rRNA from 1 species
CCGUAAUUUAAGGCGUGUGGUGGAUGCCUAGACACCAAAAAGCGAAGAAGGGCGUAGCAAUCUGCGAUAAGCCUCGGGGAGCUGAUAAGCAAGCUUUGAUCCGGGGAUUUCCGAAUGGGGAAACCCAGCAUUGUAAAACAAUGUUCUCGUGUCUCACUAAUGUUCGGCACAAGGAUAUGAAUUUUUAAUUUUAAAUUUUUAAACAAUUUUUAAUGUUAUAAUUUUUAAACUAUGCUUAAAAAGUAAUUGGUUUAGAAAUUAAAAUUAAGAAUUAAAAAUUCUCUGUGGCGAGCGGUAGCGAGACACGAGGCAUACCCGCUGAAGUGAAACAUCUCAGUAGGCGGUGGAAAAUAAAUCAAUAGAGAUUCUCCUAGUAGUGGCGAACGAACGGGGAACAGCCCAAACUCUUUUCAGUGUUUGUUGGGGCGGCGCGAUGUUUAAUUAUAUCUCGUCAAACCGAUGAUAAAGGCGCAGGCCGUUGCUGAUUUGAGGGUUGUAAGGCAAUUGCGUUUUUGUUUCUUGCGAAAUAAAGGAUUAGUUACAAAGAUUGUUGUUAGCCAAAUGCCACUGGAAAGCGGCAACCAAAGAAGGUGAUAGUCCUGUCGGUGAAAACAAUAAUCCUAAUCAGCGAUUGUUCUUGAGUAAAGCGAGACACGUGAAAUCUUGCUUGAAGCCGGGUCGACUAUGAUCCAAGGCUAAAUAUUUUUGGCGAUCGAUAGUGAACUAGUACCAUGAGGGAAAGGUUAAAAGCACCCCGGUGAGGGGGAUGAAAUAGUAUCUGAAACCACAUGCUGACAUAGAAUGGGAGCAUUUCGCUUCACUUUGCGUUCUGAACGAUUUUUAAUUUUAAAUUUUAAAAUAAAUCUAAAUUUUAAAUUUUUAAACAUUGGAAUUUAAAAAUUAUUUAAAAAUUAAAAAUUGGAAAUUAAAAAUUGGAACACGGAGCGAAGCGAAGUGUGACCGUGUGCCUAUUGAAGAAUGAGCCAACGAGUUUGUGUAUGUUACUUGUUUAACCCCGCAUUGCGGGAGAAGGCAAAGGGAAACCAAGUCUUAACUGGGCGUAUACCUUUUAAUAUUAUUGGCUUGACCUUUAAGCUAAUAAUAUUAAAAUGGUAAGGUAGCAUGUACAAGACCCGAAACCAGGCGAGCUAGCCAUGGACAGGAUGAACCCUGAGUAAAAUCAGGAGGAGGUCCGUACCCACCAGCCGUGCAACACUGGGGGAUGAGCCGUGGUUAGGGGUGAAAUUCCAAUCGAGCUUGGUAAUAGCUGGUUCUCCUCGAAAUAGCUUAUGGGCUAGCGUCUUUUGUUCGCACCCAGGGGUAGAGCACUGGAAGGAAGUGGAGUGGUUCGCCAUAUCCCUUUCUAUCAAACUCCGAAUACUGGGUGUUUAAAAAGGCAGUCAGACUACGGGGGCUAAGCUUCGUUGGUCUAAAGGGGAACAGCCCAAAUCUUAAGUUAAGGUCCCCAAAUCUACGUUAAGUGUGAAAGGCAGUGGAUUUUUUUAUACAACUAGGAGGUUGGCUUAGAAGCAGCCAUCCUUUAAAGAAAGCGUAAUAGCUCACUAGUCAAGAAUUUCUGCGCCGAAAAUUUACCGGGGCUAAAACGUAGUACCGAAACUAAGGGUCCCGAUUUUAUGUCGGGGCGGUAGAGGAGUGUUCUAUAUCCGUUGAAGUCGUUUCCGUGAGGAACGGGGGAGGAUAUAGAAGUAAGAAUGUUGGCAUGAGUAGCAAAAAGGCCGGUUGGAAACCGGCCCACCGAAAAUCCAAGGUUUCCUGGGCAACGUUAAUCGGCCCAGGGUUAGGCGAUCCUAACUUUGCGUCCGAAAGGGCGCAAGGGAUGGAAGAGCAGGUUAAUAUUCCUGCCCUGUACAGAUAUUAUCCUCGCAUUGACGCAUUUUGAAGCUGGGAGCAUAUUUUGGCUAUAUAUGUUUAUGCCGACGAAAGUCGGGAUGAAGAAGCAAAGCCUCCGGGUAGAGCGAAUUUCCAGUAACAGGGUGCCGGGAAAAGAUGCGUUGUUAAGUAUAUGUGCAACCGUACCGUAAACCGACUCAGGUGGGUGAGGCGAGAAGCCUAAGGUGAACGAGAUAACCCUUAUUCAGGAACUCGGCAAAAUAACGGGCGUAACUUCGGAAUAUGCCCUUCCCGAUUUCUUAUAUUUUUUAAAUAUGGGACAUCGGGACGCAGUUAAAGAUCUCUAGCGACUGUUUACCAAAAACACAGGUCCCUGCUAAAGUCGUAAGACUAUGUAUAGGGGCUGAUGCCUGGCCAGUGUCAGAACGUUAAGCAGAGAGGUGCAAGCCUUGAAGCCAAGCGCUGAUGAACGCCGGCGAUAACUAUAAUCGUCCUAAGGUUUUUCGCUAAAGUUAGUAUAAUUUUAGCGAAAAAGGGCUGGGACGAUUAUAUAAAUUCGUUGCCUAUUAUUAUCGUGAGAUAAUAUUGUCCUAAAAAUCAAAAUCAGCUGUAUGCGAGAACCCUUCAAAAGAUUUUUACUACUCGUCCUGCGAUAGCGGGACAGUAAAAAGGUAAAAAUACACGGAGGCAAUUCGCAGGAAACUAAUUAAAUUAGGAUCCUCAGAGACCGAAUGCUGAGAUCUAGAUAAAAAUAUGAAACUAAAUCCUUAUUGGGUUAGUGGUUUCGUUGAUGGAGAAGGAACUUUUUAUAUCGGUAUUAAUCGUCAAAGUUCAAUGACGGUUGGCUAUCAGGUGCUACCCGAAUUCAGGGUAGUGCAGCACAAAAGAGAUAUUAGACUAUUAUAUGGUUUAAAAGCAUUCUUUGGAUGCGGGGUAGUCAGGGUCAACCACGAGGAAAGAUACGAAUUGCGGGUGAGAGAUAUAAAACACCUGAAAGAUAUAAUUAUUCCCUUUUUCCGAAAAUAUCAACUUAACACCCAAAAGAAAUUUGAUUUUUAUAAGUUCCAAAAGGUUAUUGGAUUGAUGGCAGAAGGAUGUCAUCUUAAGGAAGCGGGAGUGUUGGAAAUAACAAAAAUCGCGGAGCAGAUGAACAGAAGAGAAAAGAAUUCCGCAAUAAGCAUUAAAGAAGAAAUAUUGUCUAGAUUAAAUUAGAGUCCAUGCGUCGCAGAUAAUGCGACGAAGGAGCAGAGCGAAAUUCCUUGACGGGUGAGUUCCGUCCCGCACGAAUGGCAUAACGACUUGAGAACUGUCUUGAUAAGGGACUCGGCGAAAUUGCAAUGGCGGUAAAGAUGCCGCCUCCUCACAGUUAGACGAAAAGACCCCGUGAAGCUUUACUAUAACUUGAUAUUGAUAUAUAAGAUGUCCAUGUUCAGCAUAGGUGGGAGACCGUGUCUCACUAGCGUUCGACACAAUUAUAUAAUUUUAUAAUUUUAUAAAUAAUUUUUAAUGCUUAAAUUUUUAAACAGCUAUUAUUAAACAGCUAUUAUCAGAUGUCUGUUUAAAAAUUAAAAAUUAGAGGUUUAUUUAAAAAUUAAAAAUUAAAAAUUUUCUGUGGUGAGCGAUAGCGAGACACGAUCAACAGUGAGAUACCACCCUUGGCAUUUUGUAUAUCUAAUCCCGCGCAAGCGGGAGACAGUAUCUGGUGGGUAGUUUGAGUGGGGCGCUCGCCUCCUAAAAAGUAACGGAGGCGCUUAAAGGUUGGUUAGCUCCGGAUGGAAAUCGGAGCGAUAGAGCAAACUCAUAAACCAGCUUUACUGCAAGACCCACAUGUCGCGCAGUCGCGAAAGCGUAAGUUAGUGAACCGACCAUUCUCAUAUAGGAGAGUGGAAGAUCAACGAAUAAAAGCUACUCCGGGGAUAACAGGCUAGUCUUGCCCAAGCGUCCAUAGCGACGGCAAGGUUCGGCACCUCGAUGUCGGCUCAUCGCAUCCUGGGGGUGAACAAGCUCCCAAGGGUUUGGCUGUUCGCCAAUUAAAGCGGUACGUGAGCUGGGUUCAAAACGUCGUAAGACAGUUUGGUCUCCUAUCUACUGUGAGCGUUUAAAAUCUUGAGGGACCCCUUCUCUAGUACGAGAGGACCGAGAAGGACGAACCGCUGGUGUACCAGUUGUCCUGCCAAGGGCAUCGCUGGGUAGCUAAGUUCGGGUUGGAUAAGCGCUGAAAGCAUAUAAGCGCGAAGCUGUUCCCAAGAUCAGGAUUUGACAGCCACCUGGAAGACUACCAGGUUGAUAGGUGGUCGGGUGUAAGUGCCGUAAGGUAUUCAGCCCAGACCAUACUAAUUGG